UUGGAGUAGUUGCCAUAGGCACGCCUUUGGAUAUGAGCAGGCCUCUUGGUAGCCCCACCAUAUCCAUGGAAAUCUUGGGAAAGACUGGAAUGAAGGAGCUGGCCAGCUACCUUCUGCAUGACAGUUGGGUAUUGAACUUGAUCAACCAUUGUGACUUUCCCUGCUAGGUGGAUGCGAUUGGUGGGUAGAAUUUUCCCUCCGCCUCUCGCAAAGCUUUGAAAGGAGGAAUCGGCA
rnacentral:misc_RNA from 1 species